UACAGAGGGUGCGAGCGUUAAUCGGAAUUACUGGGCGUAAAGCGUGCGUAGACGGUUAUUUAAGGCGUGUGUGAAAGCCCCGGGCUCAACCUGGGAAUUGCAUUCGAGACUGAAUAGCUAGGGUACGGUAGAGGGAAGUGGAAUUUCCGGUGUAGCGGUGAAAUGCGUAGAUAUCGGAAGGAACAUCAGUGGCGAAAGCGACUUCCUGGACCAGUACCGACGUUCAGGCACGAAAGCGUGGGGAGCAAACAGG
rnacentral:rRNA from 1 species